CCUUGUCAGUCUAAUGUCAGAUCGUUGAUAAUAUCUGAAUAUCCGUCUAUCCAUAAUGCACGAACGCUUGAUAUAUUAUCUCAGGAGCUAUCCAUACGAACAAUCUCUUUGGAUCUAUCACUGUACUAUGAACAUCGACGGCUAGAGGUUUUACUGACCGAGUUUUCACUAAUGACUAAUUGACUUGCAAAAUUAUUAUUUUAAUGGCAGCCUCCUUUUCAUUUGUGAAGGUGAAAUUUAAAUUAUUGGAUUUGGAAUGAGAUGGACAAUUCGACCCGAGAUAUUUCCUUAAAAUACUUUCUCUUUUGCAUCGUAGUGAUCGGUGAACGAGAUUUAUCGAGUUACACUACAAACAACGGGAGAAUCGAACCAGGACCGCGCGAACAAUGCUUGGAACAAGUUUCACUACGCCCUUAGCGACUGACACGAUAAAAUGUGACUGACUUAAAUGUCGAUGUUAAAUGGAUAAAGUACGGGUUAUUUGCUUAAGGAAA